rnacentral:rRNA from 1 species
AUUGAACGCUGGCGGCAGGCCUAACACAUGCAAGUCGAGCGGAUGAAGGGAGCUUGCUCCUGGAUUCAGCGGCGGACGGGUGAGUAAUGCCUAGGAAUCUGCCUGGUAGUGGGGGAUAACGUCCGGAAACGGGCGCUAAUACCGCAUACGUCCUGAGGGAGAAAGUGGGGGAUCUUCGGACCUCACGCUAUCAGAUGAGCCUAGGUCGGAUUAGCUAGUUGGUGGGGUAAAGGCCUACCAAGGCGACGAUCCGUAACUGGUCUGAGAGGAUGAUCAGUCGCACUGGAACUGAGACACGGUCCAGACUCCUGCGGGAGGCAGCAGUGGGGAAUAUUGGACAAUGGGCGAAAGCCUGAUCCAGCCAUGCCGCGUGUGUGAAGAAGGUCUUCGGAUUGUAAAGCACUUUAAGUUGGGAGGAAGGGCAGUAAGUUAAUACCUUGCUGUUUUGACGUUACCAACAGAAUAAGCACCGGCUAACUUCGUG